rnacentral:lncRNA from 1 species
CUAAGUAUCAAAUAACGAGGCUGAAUCUAUCAGACAAGGUUCCCGGUCUAGGAGGAAACGACACCAGAAAGUGCCAAAAACUCGAAGAGUAACAGGCCUUACUACUAAGGAAUGACUUGGCCUGUAAAUCCCAACCCAAGACAAAAGCCCAAAUGUAGUAUGGGUUUGGGUACCCAUGUGGUACACAUGUAUUGCAAUGCACGUACAAGAUACUUGGCCUGCACACCCACUGGUGUUCCCUUGCCUAAUGGUGAGGCCGUCAGAGCGACCUUAUAC